GGUUGAAGGUUGGGUAACACUAACUGGAGGACCGAACCGACUAAUGUUGAAAAAUUAGCGGAUGACCUGUGGCUGGGGGUGAAAGGCCAAUCAAACCGGGAGAUAGCUGGUUCUCCCCGAAAGCUAUUUAGGUAGCGCCUCGUGAAUUCAUCUCCGGGGGUAGAGCACUGUUUCGGCUAGGGGGCCAUCCCGGCUUACCAACCCGAUGCAAACUGCGAAUACCGGAGAAUGUUAUCACGGGAGACACACGGCGGGUGCUAACGUCCGUCGUGAAGAGGGAAACAACCCAGACCGCCAGCUAAGGUCCCAAAGUCAUGGUUAAGUGGGAAACGAUGUGGGAAGGCCCAGACAGCCAGGAUGUUGGCUUAGAAGCAGCCAUCAUUUAAAGAAAGCGUAAUAGCUCACUGGUCGAGUCGGCCUGCGCGGAAGAUGUAACGGGGCUAAACCAUGCACCGAAGCUGCGGCAGCGAACGUAUCACCCAAGACAACUUUACGGAGUUGACGAUUGACGGAGCGAAGCGACGUCAAAGCGUUCAUUAAAGUCGAGUUGGCUUAGGGAUACGUUCGUUGGGUAGGGGAGCGUUCUGUAAGCCUGUGAAGGUGUGUCGUGAGGCAUGCUGGAGGUAUCAGAAGUGCGAAUGCUGACAUAAGUAACGAUAAAGCGGGUGAAAAGCCCGCUCGCCGGAAGACCAAGGGUUCCUGUCCAACGUUAAUCGGGGCAGGGUGAGUCGACCCCUAAGGCGAGGCCGAAAGGCGUAGUCGAUGGGAAACGGGUUAAUAUUCCCGUACUUGGUGUUACUGCGAAGGGGGGACGGAGAAGGCUAUGUUGGCCGGGCGACGGUUGUCCCGGUUUAAGCGUGUAGGUGUGUGUUCCAGGUAAAUCCGGUUCACUUUAACACUGAGGCGUGACGACGAGGCACUACGGUGCUGAAGCAACAAAUGCCCUGCUUCCAGGAAAAGCCUCUAAGCAUCAGGUAACAUCAAAUCGUACCCCAAACCGACACAGGUGGUCAGGUAGAGAAUACCAAGGCGCUUGAGAGAACUCGGGUGAAGGAACUAGGCAAAAUGGUGCCGUAACUUCGGGAGAAGGCACGCUGACACGUAGGUGAAGUGAUUUACUCAUGGAGCUGAAGUCAGUCGAAGAUACCAGCUGGCUGCAACUGUUUAUUAAAAACACAGCACUGUGCAAACACGAAAGUGGACGUAUACGGUGUGACGCCUGCCCGGUGCCGGAAGGUUAAUUGAUGGGGUCAGCGCAAGCGAAGCUCCUGAUCGAAGCCCCGGUAAACGGCGGCCGUAACUAUAACGGUCCUAAGGUAGCGAAAUUCCUUGUCGGGUAAGUUCCGACCUGCACGAAUGGCGUAAUGAUGGCCAGGCUGUCUCCACCCGAGACUCAGUGAAAUUGAACUCGCUGUGAAGAUGCAGUGUACCCGCGGCAAGACGGAAAGACCCCGUGAACCUUUACUAUAGCUUGACACUGAACAUUGAGCCUUGAUGUGUAGGAUAGGUGGGAGGCUUUGAAGUGUGGACGCCAGUCUGCAUGGAGCCGACCUUGAAAUACCACCCUUUAAUGUUUGAUGUUCUAACGUGGACCCGUUACCCGGGUUGCGGACAGUGUCUGGUGGGUAGUUUGACUGGGGCGGUCUCCUCCUAAAGAGUAACGGAGGAGCACGAAGGUUGGCUAAUCCUGGUCGGACAUCAGGAGGUUAGUGCAAUGGCAUAAGCCAGCUUGACUGCGAGCGUGACGGCGCGAGCAGGUGCGAAAGCAGGUCAUAGUGAUCCGGUGGUUCUGAAUGGAAGGGCCAUCGCUCAACGGAUAAAAGGUACUCCGGGGAUAACAGGCUGAUACCGCCCAAGAGUUCAUAUCGACGGCGGUGUUUGGCACCUCGAUGUCGGCUCAUCACAUCCUGGGGCUGAAGUAGGUCCCAAGGGUAUGGCUGUUCGCCAUUUAAAGUGGUACGCGAGCUGGGUUUAGAACGUCGUGAGACAGUUCGGUCCCUAUCUGCCGUGGGCGCUGGAGAACUGAGGGGGGCUGCUCCUAGUACGAGAGGACCGGAGUGGACGCAUCACUGGUGUUCGGGUUGUCAUGCCAAUGGCACUGCCCGGUAGCUAAAUGCGGAAGAGAUAAGUGCUGAAAGCAUCUAAGCACGAAACUUGCCCCGAGAUGAGUUCUCCCUGAGACUUAGAGUCUCCUGAAGGAACGUUGAAGACGACGACGUUGAUAGGCCGGGUGUGUAAGCGCAGCGAUGCGUUGAGCUAACCGGUACUAAUGAACCGUGAGGCUUAACCUU
rnacentral:rRNA from 2 species